CUGUGACUGUAAACUGACAGCUGAUGGUGUGUUUCAGGUGUUUGAUCAGAUGAAGAAUCCCUACAUGAACUCUGUUACCUGCAGAAACAUCAGAGUGAAGAGCGACGGCCGCCUCAGGUGGUCGUCCAGGUGAAUUCAUGUGACGCUGUGGCAGCUCCUGAUGUGAUUUCUUUCUGGUGGGUUUCCAGCAGAGGGCAGCAUGGCAGCAGCACCUGGUGAGUCCAUUCAGGAUUUAUGGCACCUGGAUGUUACCUGAGAGUUCAUUUCUUCUACACUGUUGCUGAACUGAAUAAAUG